rfam:Leadbetterella sp. JN14-9 contig10, whole genome shotgun sequence.
GAGGUGGAUUCCGAAAAACCUUAUAGAGUAGGAG